rnacentral:lncRNA from 1 species
UGAGUUUCCCAUGGUGAUUGUACUAGUGUAUGUGAUGCACACUAGAUAGAACCUAUGGUGAAUCACUAAGCUACAAUAUUGCAUGGACUCUCAACCUUGAGAGGAUAUUGAGUUUAUACCAAAAUCAACAGGAGGAUUUGACCUAUGGGUGAGACUCUAAAGUGGUCACAUAUCCCUAUGGAUUGGGUCAUUGUUGAUGGAGACUAGUGGCAAUAACCAUUCCCAAUAAAGGCACUAUGAUAUCUCAUGGGAUUGAGACAGUGUGUCCUCUUAAGUGAUCCAAAGGACAUGUGAUCAUGAAAUAUGUGGCCACAAUAAUUCC